CAGCAGCCGCGGGAAUACGAAGGGUGCAAGCGUUAAUCGGAAUUACUGGGCGUAAAGCGCGCGUAGGUGGUUUGGUAAGAUGGAUGUGAAAUCCCCGGGCUCAACCUGGGAACUGCAUCCAUAACUGCCUGACUAGAGUACGGUAGAGGUUGGUGGAAUUUCCUGUGUAGCGGUGAAAUGCGUAGAUAUAGGAAGGAACACCAGUGGCGAAGGCGACCACCUGGACUGAUACUGACACUGAGGUGCGAAAGCGUGGGGAGCAAACAGGAUUAGAUACCCGCGUAGUCCCUGUCUCUUAUAC
rnacentral:rRNA from 1 species